rnacentral:rRNA from 1 species
GUGCCAGCAGCCGCGGUAAUACGUAGGUGGCAAGCGUUGUCCGGAUUUAUUGGGUUUAAAGGGUGCGUAGGCGGCCCUGUAAGUCAGUGCUGAAAUCCCCCGGCUUAACCGGGGUGGUGGCAUUGAUACUGCAGGGCUUGAGUACAGAUGAGGUAGGCGGAAUUGACGGUGUAGCGGUGAAAUGCAUAGAUAUCGUCAAGAACACCGAUAGCGAAGGCAGCUUACUGGGCUGUAACUGACGCUGAUGCACGAAAGUGUGGGGAUCAAACAGGAUUAGAUACCCUGGUAGUCCACACUGUAAACGUUGAUUACUCGCUGUUUGCGAUACACUGCAAGCGGCUUAGCGAAAGCGAUAAGUAAUCCACCUGGGGAGUACGCCGGCAACGGUGAAACUCAAAGGAAUUGACGG